GGCUCCUGUGGCCUUGGCAAGGUGCGCAACUUUCCGGCUUACCAGGCCUCUCCUUGUAUGUCCCCAUGGCAGGCAGGGCUGUUUCUUUCGGGGGAUGUUUAGGGGAAGCAGGGCUCUGCCUCCUGUGGCACAGUACAGUUCCCCGAGUGGAGGCCCGUACCUGGUUCUGCGGGCCCCCUUCUCCUCACAUAUAGAACCAACCUUCUCCUCACCUGAGGUGGAUUGGAGCUCAAGUGCUCCCUGCUGCUGACCUGGUGGACGCUGGUUGGAAUUCAGAGGACCCUUUAGCUUCGGGGAACCACACGCAGCUGACCCGACGGUGGAUCUGCGCAACAGGAUCACACUCCAGUGGCACACUCCCAGUUAUUAAUAUCGGAGAGAGAUACUGCUUCCACACUCAGCCGCUCCAGUUCAUAAGAAUUUGCUCUCGGCCAUCACAGCCAGAUCUCUCUAGAUUUAUAUGGCUGAUCUGAUAGCUCUACCUGAGAAACAUUCCUCCGACCAAACUGAUGCCCGAGGCUGUAGGCUAAGUGCUCUAAUACAGGACAAAGCAAUCACAGGUCCAAAAAUUAUGCAAGAGCGUCGCAGAAGACGCCCUACAUUUUGGGCAUCUGCCAUCCUCCUCCGGCACAAAAUGACUGCGUCUGCUCUGGGAGAUAUACGCUCUAUGGAUAGUUUUCACAUGAACCUCCUGAAGCACAGAGGAGUGCACCACCUUUAACACUGAAUGAUAAUAUUUCACUAUUGAGCCAUCUUGUGGCAAUGAGGGGAUGUCCCUUACCCAUGAGUCUGUGACUUGUGUCCAAGUGUAUUCUCUAUGACGGUCUAA